rnacentral:misc_RNA from 1 species
GCUUUUGCACUCUCUAUACGCGUUAUGGAUUGGGGGGUUUUUAGCUCCAACCAUGGUUCGUAUAGACAGUGAAACCGUACAAGUUGUGUAAAUGUUGUGAAAAUGAUGCAAGUUCUAACAAAAGUGAGAGCAUAUAUGUCUUCUUCAUUGAUUGAAGAAGGUGAGAGAGCGUACAUGUAUGUCUUCAUUGAUCAAGCAAGAAUGAAGACGGCGGCUAGGGCAGCAAAGAGAAAUGAUACAUGGCGGAUCAAGGACGAUUGAACAUUGGUACACAAGUGUGUUGCAGCUGCAGUACAGUGUGUCACAUUGAACCAUCUGCUAUAGAAGCGCUCCGAAAACGAUCUGAUUACU